GUUGAGGUCCUUUCCAACCCAAGCUGUUCUAUGAAUCUAUGAUUCAUUCUAUGACUCUAUGAAAACCCACCUGUGCCACAGCUGCCUUUUAAACAGAGACAGGCAGUAGCAGCCUAAGUACACAUCUUGUGAGUGAUAACCUAUCCUGUUGUCUGAAAACAAAUAUCCACCUGACAAAAUUGCUGUCAUUAUCCAGUAGUAAUCAGCAGAAGACCAAGCAAUACUGGAAACAAGCCAACAUAAGCUUGAAGAAAGUUCCAACACAGAAUUGCAGAAUUUAUGCAUAUUUGUCUGUUACAGGUCACAGAAAAACAACAUUUGGAAUUAUCUGUGGUUUUAAUACAGCAGAAGCACAUUUGGUAAUGAACCCAUUUACCAGAAACAGCAAUAUAACACUGAAUGACACAGUGCUAACUGACCGGUUUCUUUAUUGGUUUUCAUCCUCUGUGGUAAUGUAUAGUCCCUCCUUGCCCACUAUAUAAUACAAGCAAUUUUCUAUUUAUAAGUAAAAGGGAAAAUACAUAUGACCCUCUCAGAUGGAAAAAAAAAAAAAUCCGCAGGCUGUCAAAUCUCUGUAUUUUCAGAUGAGCAGAAAAUGUGGUCUCUGGUUUGUUAUUCCUGGAUCCCUUCAUUUACCAUAGCUUAAUGAAAUAAGAGAUGUGAACUUGAUACUGAGCUGCCCCAGUUUAUAGCUUGGCAUAACAAAAUAAAUGGAAGAAGACAGGGGCUUAAGUUAAUAUGUUGGACUGUGAAUUGCAGCUGGUAGAACACAUUCACAGUGCCUGCUUUGCUGUCUGUUACAGGAGUGGCUUCAUAAGGAGAGACGUGAGGAAGGAUGCAAUAGUCAGAAAAGUAACCUUGUGCUCAAUCAAGGUUUGUCACAGUCCUUAGUUUCUGAGCUAAGUACAGUAAAACACAACAUUCUUCACUUGUAGGCAUGAUUAAACUGAAAUAACAGCUUUUCCUAUGAAUGUAUCACCAGGACAAAAACAAAAAGAGCAAAUACAAACCAAGAGGAAUCAAUCCUACUUGCUUAGCACUCCUUAUUUCAAUCAGAUCCCCUACAGUCUAGUCACAACUUUUGUUUUAACCAAAUGGAGUUGCAGCUGACUUACCUCCACACAAGCUUCAUACUUAUCCCAUCCCGGGUUUGCAGCCAGCAGCAGCUCAGAGUUGGCAACUUUGCAGUAUUUUGGGCUAAAGAAGUACAUGCUGACUCAUGAGGAGUGGAAAAGUAAAAUAUGUGUAGAACUGAUUCAUAAUUAUCUAAUAUUUCAUUCUCCAAAUUCAGUGGAAUGAUCGGAUACUUUUCCAAAAGAUUUCAGCUAUCCACACAGAGCUAACAACUCAUGGCUAAUGAUAUAAGAGGCAAAUGAUAAGCACAAAGCAAUGAUAAGCUGAUUUUCAUCUCACGUAGCUAAUGAAAGCAGAUCAGUCUUUGAUUCCCAAGCACGCUAAAACUUACUAGCCAACUCAAAGAGGGUGUUGCAAUAUGGCAAAAGUAGCUUUUUUUUGUCUUUUCCAAAAAAGCGUGAUGAUCCAAGGACUUCUGAGACUGAUCCUACAGGGAACUGUUUCAUACCCAAGAGACUAACAACUACUUAUUUAAGAAAAAAAAAAGUAAAAACACUAUGUCAGAAAGAGAUCUCUUUCAUAAGCAGAGCAUCACAAUACUUUGCUAUUUCUUUUACAUAAGAAGCACCAGAAUAGCUCUUGAAUGCAGUCAAAGGGCCUUCAAAAGGCAGCUCAACUGGCAGUAAAAGUGCACAGAUGGAAGGGGAGCCCAGGCAUGCUGCAAUUAUUUUGCAUGCCAGGGUGCCUGCUAAAAUUCAUUUCUGUUGUAACUGCUCUGUUUUUACUUGCUUAAUAUCCCUAAUGCUUUUGUUUCUUUGCAUUGCAGAACUUUUUAAUUUUUCUCCAGUUGCAGGAAUUUCACUUGAUUCAAAAAACACUGCAACACCACGUUCUUAAUACAUAGUUAAAUACCAGAACUGACAAACCUCCGAUGUAAUGAUGACCUUACUUUUCUGUGGCAUAUUGUACACGUACUAAAAUCUUGCUGAAAAUACAAUAAAACAAUACUUUAUAUUCCAGGGAACCUUUAAUCUCUGACUCUACUAAAAUAAUUCUUGUAAAUGUCAAAGGCAGGGGGAUUUGUAGAAGUUGCUUUGAGAAUUAAUCCUUCCAGCACUGAACUCUCUUUUAACUUUAGAAGCUCGCAUGCAGCAAAGGGAACAUAAACUUAUCCAGGGGAAAAAAACUGUACAGCUCUGAAUGUAUUCAUUGUAUCACUGUUGAAUUUCUGAUCCCUUUUUCCAGUUGUUAUCUGCAAAUAUUGAGCUUAGCCACACUAAAUGUGAUAAAAUUCUAAUUAUUAUCGAGGAAAACAUUCUAUUUUUCCUGUUUAUCAGCAACAAGAUACUGUCAUUCUGUAUCUGUUAUUUCAUAAUCUACGUGCCCCCCCCUUCCCCUUUUUUUUUCCAUUUCAGCUCUCUUUUUUAUGCUUAAAUGCUUCUUUGGUGAGUUGUAAGCAAUUCUAAUGCAGGUUUUCACAAUCACCUUUAGGCUUGAGUACAAAUAUUAGUAUUAGACGAUAGGUCAGCAUUAGCUGGUUGUAAGUAACACCAGACAACAAGUGGACUCCUGUGAGAAGGAUCACGAGGUCAAUGGAAAAAUGACAAAUAUCCUGGACAAGCCUUCCGGCGAUGCCGUGGGGGUUUGAUGGUAAUGUCUGGUCAUCUUGUUCUCUACAAGCAAACUCCAGCCCUACCAACAAAUUUUGCAUUGCCCUAAGCAAAUUGGGAAACCCAACACCAAAUUAAACAUCACUGCUCCCUCGGGCAUAAAAACAGUAUGAAGAACAAAAAAUAUUUGUACCAAAGUAAAUCUGUGCCGCUUACUGCUCUGCUGCUGUUAUGUAAUGCUGAGCUCAUAACCAUGUAUAAAGGACUGAUGGGAAUGCAGUGCUCCAGAUAAGCUGUUCAAAUCCCAGGUCUAUGUUAAAUUCUAGACUAACCUUUACAAUCUUAGCAUGCAAAUGAAGAGAUUUUUGCUUCUCGUUUGCCUGAGAAUAAUAAACACUGCUAGCAGCUCUGGUUCUUAAUCAUGCUGCAGUCAGAUGUUAAGCUGCUGAAGGCUGAUUAUUUCAAGUUACAAAAUAUUUUUUAAUUAACUGAUGCUACUUUCAGCAGCACCAACUUCACUUUUCAUUUUUCCAGUUCAGCUUAAAAGAUCUUCAUUUACUCUUUCCCAGUUUCACAAGUCUCAUUUACCAUAGCAGACACACUGUGAGGACACGAAAGUAGCUCUGUAAAUGGAGAAAAAUUUCUCUUCCUGCCAUCUGAUGCAUACUUCCAAAAACAUUUGUAGGUGAAACACUCCAUGUUUUCAUAGCAUGUUGCCCAUUGAUGUAGUCAUCCAGAAACCUGAAUAGUGCCUGAGUGGUAUCUCAGGGGAUACCUGAGAUGGCCUGAACCACUGAUUGAUCACUUGGGGAAAAGAUCAGCUCAGCCCUGGAAGCACAUGUGAAGGCAAUUCGGCUGUGUGACCAGAAGAGGUGGAGCCUGGCUGCACCUCUUUUAAACCCCACUUAAGGGCUGAUUGCCAGUAGGGAAGGAUCUUUAUCUGGUGUUCCCUUCCUUGUAUAGUUUUUCCCUGCGUGCCUAUGUCUUUGGAGACAGAAGAAAUCUGGAUGAUGUGCUCAACUGAAGCAUCACAGAAAACGGACCUCCCUCUAAAUGGGAGUAGAGAACACAAACGAUGGCCAUGCACAGGAAAGCAAGUGGGGAAAAAAGGUCUUCUCGCCCCGCGGGGAGGCUCUGGAACGAAAGAGUUCUACGGCUGUCAGUUUGAAAGGAUCCCACCGAAUCUGCGACAGAACGCCGUUUCCUGA